AGGUACCGAGUGGCGAACGGGUGAGUAACACGUGGGUAAUCUGCCCUGCACUUCGGGAUAAGCCUGGGAAACUGGGUCUAAUACCGAAUAGGACCAUUUAGCGCAUGCUUUAUGGUGGAAAGCUUUUGCGGUGUGGGAUGGGCCCGCGGCCUAUCAGCUUGUUGGUGGGGUGACGGCCUACCAAGGCGACGACGGGUAGCCGGCCUGAGAGGGUGUCCGGCCACACUGGGACUGAGAUACGGCCCAGACUCCUACGGGAGGCAGCAGUGGGGAAUAUUGCACAAUGGGCGCAAGCCUGAUGCAGCGACGCCGCGUGGGGGAUGACGGCCUUCGGGUUGUAAACCUCUUUCAGCAGGGACGAAGCGCAAGUGACGGUACCUGCAGAAUAAGCACCGGCCAACUACGUG
rnacentral:rRNA from 1 species